rnacentral:lncRNA from 1 species
UCGCCCCCCAGCAUCAGGGGUUAUUGUUGGACCAAAUGCCAUUCUCUUCUCAGUAUGGUCAUCAAAGCCAAUAGUCAGUAUGGCCAUCAAAGCCAAUAGGGGGCAUUUGGCUUGUAUCUAGCCGUAACUCCUAUUAUAUCGUAGCUGGCUUCAUUUAGCCUCCUAUUGAGCCUGAAAUUAGCUGAAGUAGUCGCAUUUGUAAGG